rnacentral:rRNA from 1 species
CGGUCCAGACUCCUACGGGAGGCAGCAGUGGGGAAUAUUGCACAAUGGGCGCAAGCCUGAUGCAGCCAUGCCGCGUGUAUGAAGAAGGCCUUCGGGUUGUAAAGUACUUUCAGCGGGGAGGAAGGCGAUAAGGUUAAUAACCUUGUCGAUUGACGUUACCCGCAGAAGAAGCACCGGCUAACUCCGUGCCAGCAGCCGCGGUAAUACGGAGGGUGCAAGCGUUAAUCGGAAUUACUGGGCGUAAAGCGCACGCAGGCGGUCUGUCAAGUCGGA